UUCAAAUUCCUCCAGGUUGUGAAGUUUCGCAACUUUCGCAAAUCUUACUGCACAUCUUGGAUGGAACAAAAGCUGAAGGCCAAGGUGGUGGUUCAGACAUGUUAUUACGAGCUUGGGACAGGACUUGAAAGUCUCUUCUCAACGCUUGAAGUUGAGCACGUUUCACUCGUGAGGGCCAUGAUAUUUUUUCUUCAUUUAAUCCCAAAUGUCCUUGGAAGUAUCUUUGCAAAGAAUAGUUUCAAGGAUAGAAUGAUCAAUGGCUUGAAACAAAUAAUUUUUGGCUUUUAAGUCUUUCAAUUUCAUCACUUCAUACUCUUUUUGUUGUGUCUUUGUAAGAGUUACGUCAUCACUUGGUGUUACCACACCAUCUGCAACAACCUGCCAGAACUUCUUGGAUCGCAAGAGAUUCUCCAUCAACAUGCUCCAAUGAUCAUAAUGACUAUCAAAACGUGAAAUGACUGGUUGAAUAAAAUUUUUAGAAGAUAUUGGGUGUCCGUUUGCUAUAUGUUCCACUUGAGGCAAUAAUGUCUGAGUUCUACGGUAAAAGUGAACGUCUUCUAGGGAAAGUGUUAUCGCUUGCGAACACUCUUCCUAAUGGUGCUAUUAUAUUUCUGGAUGAGAUUGAUUCUUUUGCUGCUGCUCGUGACAAUGAAAUGCAUGAAGCUACACGUAGAAUAUUGUCAGUCUUGUUGCGACAGUUUAAUCUUGUUGGUUACUGUUUAAGAUACACAGAAUGGCAUGUUAUAUACCUUUUGUCUAUAGAAAUUGAUUGUGUGCUAGAGUUUUAGAAGUUUUAUUUUAUAGUAAAGAGCUUACAAUGACUUAUUUUCAGCUUGCUAGUUCUUAUUUAGCAUCGUAUGUAUUCUUCAAGAUUAGUUUAUGUAACCAUUC